GCGCGGGGCGAGCCGGGGAGCCGGACGGGCGAGGAGGAGCCGCCGCCUGACGCUGCGGCACCGGCACGGCCAGCGCAGGUGGCAGUGUAGAAGCCAAGAACAAAAAAUUGGCAGAAAUUGUGUUCUGUGUACGAGAAUAUGAAGAGUGUACUCAUGACUAAGCACAGGAACCUGGAAAACCACAGGAGAGCAGUUUGCCUAAACCUUUCAGUUGCUCCUGAGAGAAUGCGGUGCUACUGCAAAUGCCCAAGGAUGAUCAAGUCACCUUGUGUCAGCCCCUCUGCAGGAACUGGCUUUGGGCACAGUUUGGGUUAUGCCCAGUUGCAAAGGAAGUUUGCAGAGAGAUUGAUUUAUUUUGCUGUUAAAAUGGGCUAAGACUCUGCACCCCAUAGGUACCAACCAGCUGUCACCUCUAAACUGUUAACUUAUAGUGACUGGGCAUCUUGAGAUUAUGGAAUCCAAGUAGAAAUGAUUCAUUAUUUCCACCCAGUGCUUAAAGUACUGACCAGGAAACCACAGUCCAUGUAUGGCUUUGUGGGCACUCAAGCCCUGAAAUUGUAAGGUUGCUGUAGAAAAGCUGUGCCUCUGUUGGGGAGUAGUAAGACCCUGAUCUCUGGUUUUCGGUAAACAUAAUGCUUUCAAAAUACGGUGUGCCUUGGAUAGAAUACCCUGCAAAGCUUUCAAAGUUCUUCAGUUACCAAUGAAAAUGUGGCUAAAUCUAGGUCUUCAGGCUGGUGUGCAGCAGAGAGCUCUUCUAAGCAUCUGGCUGUCAUGUUUUUCUUGUCACCUGUUACUUCUGAGUGAGCAUCAGCACUGACUUCCAUACAGACCAGUAGUUCUUUUUAUUGUUGUAUGUUAUUGAGCAACAGGAUUUAAAUAUCCAUCAAAAACUUAGGUUAAUACCCCUGAUAAUGUCAGUUGAACUGUUUACGUAGCACAGGUCAGCAUAUGCUUAUGGCUUUGUUGAACAUUGUUGAGUUCAUUAGCUUGUGUUAACACAUUUAGAGGAGAAAAUGAAAAUGUAAUUUGUCAUUGGCACAGAAUUUUAAUGGGGUCUUCCAUGACAUCAAGAGCUGAAAAUAUUAAAAAAUAAAAAUGGUAACUAAGCACUGUGGUGCUCAAGAGUUCAAUUUACAGACACUUCUCUGUGCUAAUUAUGAAGUAUUGACAUAAAUGAAUGGAACCACUUGUUAAAGCGCCUUUUUUAGUGUAUGGCAGUUAUGUGUUCACAAGAUGAUUCAUAACAUUCAGCAAUUUGUGAUGAAUUUCCCUGCCAUUACAGGAGAUUACUAAGUAACUGAUGUAUUUGCACUACACUGGGCUACUUUAAAUUAGAUUUGAUGGUGGAAAGGGAAUUAGAACCAUUUUCUAUCAACUGAAAAAUCAGGCUUGUUUUGUGAAUCACUAUUGAGUUUCUCUGUACUGUAUGGCACGAUUUAUCCCUUACAAUAAAAUGCAAAUGUUUAAGCAUCUUGCCUAUAAAUACAGCAGUGACAAGUGUGUGUGUGUAAGCUCUCAAGCCUUCUUUUGUGACGAAAGCUGCGUACAUCAGAGCCAAUAAAAUGCAGCAGACUUGGUGUAAUUGAAAGUAGAAUUCAUAGAAAGAAAUCUAAAUUUGGAGUCUAAAUGGGUGAGGUCCCACUUUGAAUCAGCAAGUCUUGGUUAUGUAGAAUACUCUUUGAUUUGGUGAUGGGUGUGUUUGUGAGUACAGCUCCCCUCAACAGUGCAGAAGAGGCUGCAUCUUAAAAAACAGUUCUGUGCCUCUGUUUUGGACUAAAGGUUGUGGCUGGUUAUGUGUUCUGUUGUCUUAGGGAACCAGUGUUUGAGGGCUUGCACAAUCAGUCCUUUCAUGCUAUCAUAAAGUGGCUGUGAUCUGUUAGAUUAUAAAGCACGAUUGCCCAGCAGUUAUG